rnacentral:tRNA from 1 species
GCCUGGGUGGCUCAGUUGGUUAGGUGACUGACUUUGGCUCAGGUCAUGAUCUCGCAGUUUGUGAGUUCGAGCCUCACAUCAGGCU